rnacentral:tRNA from 1 species
GCACCGCUGGUCUAAUGGUAGAAUUUCACCUUGCCAAGGUGGGGGUCCGGG